rnacentral:rRNA from 1 species
GGUCAAGUUAUUAAGGGUGCAGGGCGGAUGCCUUGGCACUAGGAGCCGAUGAAGGACGUGAUAAGCUGCGAUAAGCUUCGGGGAGUUGCACGUAAACUUUGAUCCGAAGAUUUCCGAAUGAGGAAACUCACUUAGAGUAAUGUCUAAGUAUCAUUAAGUGAAUACAUAGCUUAAUGAGGGGAACUCAGGGAACUGAAACAUCUAAGUACCUGAAGGAAGAGAAAGAAAUUCGAUUCCGUAAGUAGCGGCGAGCGAACGCGGAUUAGCCCAAACCAAUAAAGUUUUCUUUAUUGGGGUUGCGGACAUAUCAUAACGAAGAGGUAUCGUAAUUGAAGAGGUUUGGAAAGACCCACCACAGAAGGUAAUAGUCCUGUAUG